rnacentral:lncRNA from 1 species
CUGCAAACAAAAAUGAAGCACCAUAUUCUUUUUAUUGCAGCAGAUAUUCCAGGCAUAAAACUCCCAUGUGUUUUAUAGAAAAAGUAUAAAGACUUUUGAGUUGUUAACUACAAUGCUAUAGGCAAAGCAGCAAUCUGCUUUAACAGUUUCCAUCAGCCAAAGGUUUAAUUACCAGCAGUUGGGCCAGCCUUCUCCAGGAACAAUUAUAACCCAGUGAAGUCAUUUCACAGGGCAUUUACCAGCAGCAGAUUCAGCAAAUGGAGGCUGUUCGUGUUCCCUGGCUGAUUAAAGGCCUGUGAGCUUAGCAUGAAACUAAUGUUUGACACCUAGGAAAAAGUAUUUUCUAAGUAAACACAGGUUGGACAAGGCUGAAUGAAGAGAAAAUAGAAACCUUAUUUUCCAUUCCCACUUUGGGAUAGAGAUGACAACCCAAACCUUCCUUUUACAUCUGGGGCCAGGUUGGAUUUACGUAUCAUUUUGUGAUUCAAGAGCUGCUACCUCAUGAGAAGACCUGGUUAAGUCCGUGCCUUCGGUGUCUGUUUUCUGUUGGUCUAUUUAGCCUGCUGUCUCCUGAAGCUGCAAGUAGCAUGAGAUCACAUUUUGUUCUUUUGAGAUUCCCAGAUCAUGAUGGACUUGUCAUCACAGACCGGCAAAUCUGACUCUCUAGGGCGGGCCUCAGGGUCAGACCUCAGCUGACGUUUCAACCCAGGAUGGACACAAUUUGUACCAGGACCUUCCUGACACUGGUUUAGUUCGAACUGCAUUUUUGUUUUUCAGAGCCAAAUCACCAUGUCCAGCCAAGCCAGGUUAAUGUGUGAGCAAGGAGCCAGCCCUGCCUUUUGAGAAUUAAUUUCUCCUUUAGAGGACACUUUUCACAUUCAUGCUAUGAAAGUUUCUUUUGCUGAUUCUCAGCUGCACUAUCCAGGAGGUUCUGAACCUAAGAUGAGUAAUUAAUUCAAGUAAUUAACUUCUCAGCAUGGCACUGAAAACAAGAGUGCACUUGAGGCCCUCCUCCCCUGCAGCCUGGUGAAGGCAACUGGAAUUGUCUUGUGGUCCAGGAGAACGUGGAUUAGAUAACUGAGAGCAUAGCAUCAGCACUGGUCUCUGCAUUCAGCUUCUUUUUUUUUUUUCCAGACUAAAUACCCCCAGAGACUCUCCAUUAAGGAACACCAGACACAGAAACCGAGGUGGAAAUCAGUCUCAUUGAGCCCCAGGACCUGAUCCAAACCAGCAUGCAAGCCUGUGCUUAACCUCAGCCACGUGCUAGAGCCACAGCCUUUAACCAAGCCUCACCAGGGCAGUGCCAAGAAGACGCCUGACUCAGCAUCAACAUACCUCUAAUCCAGCAUUAGGAAUAUGGAGCUCAGCACAUAGCAGGAUGAGGCUCCCUGUGCCAUGAGAUAGACAAUCACAUGGGAUAAUCACUGUAUUACAGGAUCUCAGCUCCAGGAUAGGCUAACAGAGGUGCUGUAUGCCCCAUUCCGCCUUGGCCUCAUCUUCCCAGCAUCUGUUCUCCUAAGCUGGAAUCAAAUGAGCACCAUCAUUUCUGGCACUGCAGCAGUCUUGGCUUUCUGGAAUUUCUUAGAGGGAAAGAGAAACCCACUUAUCUAAAGAGCUAACAGGUGAAAAAACUACACUGGAAGACUGCUUCUUAAACCAUAGAAACCAGUGGUUUUCAACAUCGUUUGAUUUGCAGACCUUUAUGCAUUUCAUAGCAAAGAGGUACACUCUUACAUAGGAAGUUUAAAGCUAUGACCUCAUCUCCUCUGAGCCACCAUUCACAGAACCCUCAGGGACAAUCCUGUGACCCUUACAGUUUGAAACCACAGCUAUUUUACUUCACAAGGGCCAAGUUUUACUUCUCAAAUCUCAGUGAAGAGGGGGCAUGUACUCCCAGCAGGUUUCUCCUCUCCUUGCAGGAUGCUGCAGGGCUAUGGGGAGAGCAGCUCUGAACCAAAAGAAAGUCCUGGAGCAGCCAGAGGUGUGGGAUGUGAAGAUGGUGUGGGGUUGGAGAAGUUCUCAAUGCAUUCUAGUUUUAACCUUUGUUUUUUCUCCUUAAGAAAAAUGCUAUUUCCAAAAAAUAAAAUCUGAACUGAAAG